CUUAAUCCUCGGAACAUUUCAUAAAAAAUCAAAAUAUCUCCCCCCUCCCCUUUUCAGUUUUUUUAGCUUGGCGUAACAGAAUAUAAGUGUUGUCCUAGUUUGUUUAUGAAUAAAAUAUAGAUCUAUAUGUUUAUUGACAGUGCAUUUUGCUUUAUUGUAAAUUAAUGAAUGUACUUAUUGGUCUCAUUAGAAUGGUGAGAGGUGUAGGCGAUGGGAGGCAGCUGAAAAAAGGUGACCAAGACUACAUCGAACAGGAACGAAAGCGAAAAGCUGAUUAUAGGGGUCGGAUGAAUCCUGAACAAGUUGACAGGUGGAUGAUUGGCCAUGGGUGACUUUUUUCACUAAAGUGAAACAAAGAUGGCUGGCAAAGGACAUCCACCACACUGUCAUGUUCGAAGAAGUCAGAAUAGCAAUUGAUUGGACAUUAUUUGAGGAGAUGACUAACGCCCUGUCCACCUUUAGAAUGGACUACGAGAUCAAGAACCAAGAGGACACCAAUAACCAGUUUCUGAAUAAACAUAAAAAGGAGUAUGGCAAAACUGAUAUUGGUCAUUGAGAUAAACAAUAUUCAAGAUACAGGAUAGCUAAUGUUUAAUUGCACAGUGGAAGACUUUCAAAGUUAAAUUAAAUUAAAUUAAUUUUUCUAAAAUGAUUUUUCAUGUGGAUACAAAAUAGCAGCAAUUGUACAGCUUUGCCUAGGAAUAAUUUAUUGUGUCGCAGUUUUUUCCUGAUUAAGUCUUGCGAUAAUACUUUGAAUUCAUCAACAAUUUGAAGUGGUUUGUAAAAUAUUCAGUACAAUGAAUAAUUGUCAAACAGUUACUGAAUAUAUAAAUUAUAAAGGGUUAUUCCUAAAUGAAUGUUUGAGAGGGCUGGGAUGUACAUUUAAAAAUAUUUAAUGAGUGGUGGGGAUAUCAAGAUUCCACAAUCUGUUAUUUUUAAUAUACAACUUGCAUACAGCAUUAUAGUUUUAAAAUUUGAUGGGCGUGUGGGGUCCCUGAGUCUUAGAAAAUAUCUUCCUGCCCUGCCCACAUUAAUUUCUGGAAAACCCCAAACCACAUUCCAGGCUGUUGGGAAUCUUGUCUACCGAUAAACAAUUGUACUUGGAAUGAAAUUAUGUAUUAAUACAGUAAUGGAAUGUGUUAUCACUAUAUAUUACAACUUCAUUACAAUGUAAUUACCCUGGUGUGUUAAUUAGUAACUUAAUGUCAAAAUAAUAUCUAGAAACAAAAGAAUUUUCUUCUAGAACAUAUUUCGGGCAUACCAUGAGGCACAAGCAUUUUUUUUUACAAAGUAGACACAUUUAUAGUUGGUUGUAAAGAAGACAUAAUUGCAUGAUACUUCA